GUGUCAGCCGCCGCGGUAACACGUAGGGCGCAAGCGUUGUCCGGAAUUAUUGGGCGUAAAGAGCUCGUAGGCGGUCUGUUGCGUCCGCUGUGAAAACCCGGGGCUUAACCCUGGGCUGGCAGUGGAUACGGACAGACUAGAGGUAGGUAGGGGAGAAUGGAAUUCCCGGUGUAGCGGUGAAAUGCGCAGAUAUCGGGAGGAACACCGGUGGCGAAGGCGGUUCUCUGGGCCUUACCUGACGCUGAGGAGCGAAAGCGUGGGGAGCGAACAGGAUUAGAAACCCUGGUAGUCC
rnacentral:rRNA from 1 species